UACGUAGGCAGCAAGCGUUGUUCGGAAUUACUGGGCGUAAAGAGUGUGUAGGCGGUGCUCUAAGUUCGGUGUGAAAUCUCCUGGCUUAACUGGGAGGGUGCGCCGGAAACUGGAAUGCUCGAGCGUGGGAGAGGAAAGCGGAAUUCCUGGUGUAGCGGUGAAAUGCGUAGAUAUCAGGAGGAACACCUGCGGUGUAGACGGCUUUCUGGACCAUUGCUGACGCUGAGACACGAAAGCGUGGGUAGCAAACAGG
rnacentral:rRNA from 1 species